rnacentral:rRNA from 1 species
GUGAACGCUGGCGGUAGGCCUAACACAUGCAAGUCGAACGGCAGCACAGUAAGCGCUUGCUCUUACGGGUGGCGAGUGGCGGACGGGUGAGGAAUACAUCGGAAUCUACUUUUUCGUGGGGGAUAACGUAGGGAAACUUACGCUAAUACCGCAUACGACCUACGGGUGAAAGCAGGGGAUCUUCGGACCUUGCGCGAUUGAAUGAGCCGAUGUCGGAUUAGCUAGUUGGCGGGGUAAAGGCCCACCAAGGCGACGAUCCGUAGCUGGUCUGAGAGGAUGAUCAGCCACACUGGAACUGAGACACGGUCCAGACUCCUACGGGAGGCAGCAGUGGGGAAUAUUGGGCAAUGGGCGCAAGCCUGAUCCAGCCAUACCGCGUGGGUGAAGAAGGCCUUCGGGUUGUAAAGCCCUUUUGUUGGGAAAGAAAAGCAGCAGGUUAAUACCCCGCUGUUCUGACGGUACCCAAAGAAUAAGCACCGGCUAACUUCGUG